GAUGAACGCUGGCGGCGUGCCUAAUACAUGCAAGUCGAGCGAACAGACGAGGAGCUUGCUCCUCUGACGUUAGCGGCGGACGGGUGAGUAACACGUGGAUAACCUACCUAUAAGACUGGGAUAACUUCGGGAAACCGGAGCUAAUACCGGAUAAUAUAUUGAACCGCAUGGUUCAAUAGUGAAAGACGGUUUUGCUGUCACUUAUAGAUGGAUCCGCGCCGCAUUAGCUAGUUGGUAAGGUAACGGCUUACCAAGGCAACGAUGCGUAGCCGACCUGAGAGGGUGAGGGCCCAAGCGGGAACUGGGAAACGGUCAAAGCCCCAAGGGGGGGCGCCGGUAGGGAGUGUGGGGCAGGGGGGGAAAGCUUAACGGAGAAAGAAGGGGGAGGUAAGAAGGGUCUUGGAACUGUAAACGUCUGUGGUUGGGAAAAAACAAGGUGAGAGGUAAAAAUGCAGGCAGUGACGGUAACUAAUCAGAAAGCCACGGCUAACUACGUG
rnacentral:rRNA from 1 species